UUACAGCCAUAUCAUGAUGAAACACCAGUUCUCAUAAGAUCACCAAAGUUAAGCAAUGUUGAACCUGGUCAGUACCUAGAUGAAUGACUGCUUUGGAAUACCAUGUU